rnacentral:lncRNA from 1 species
AGAGUGAGGCAUAGUUUAAUACAUUUUGAAGCAUAAUUGGAAAUUGCUUUCCAAAAUGGAGGGACCAAUUCAUAGCUCUGUCAGGAGUGCACUUAUCCUCUAAUAUUUGUCAUUUUUCUUUGUGUGUAUAUCUAUAUUGCUAGUCUGAUAGUUGUUAGGUGGAACUUCAGGAUUAUUUCAUUUUACAUUUAUGUAAUUAUUAGUGAUUUCAGCAUUGUUUUUCAUGAUUAUUGUUAGCUUGGAUUGUGCCUUUGACUAGCAUUUUAUAGCUUUUACUGUUAUCUUCAGUUGUGUUGUUAUAACUCAUAUAUAUGUGUGUGUGUAUAUAUAUAUAUAUAUAUAUAUAUAUAUAUAUAUAUAUGUUACAUAUAUAUGUAAGAAUUCCUUUUUCAACAUCCUAGCAGUGAACAAUGAUCGUCAAACUUUAACCUGGAGACCUUCCAGCGAGGUGUGACCCUCUUCUUCCUGAGGCAGCUGACUUCGCUCUUGGAGAAGUCUUAAUUGUUAGGAAGUCUUUCCUUGCAUGGAAUUGAAAUCAACCUCUUUCCACUUGCCUUCUUUUGCCUUCCUUCUUGGCCAAGGAGAACAAUCCAAUCCUGCUUCCAUAUGAUAGCCCUUCAAAUUUCAAAUUCCUAAAGACAACCCCUCCUUAUACUUCCUCCUGGAUUUCCCUCUUCCUGUUCAUGGCACUAUCAUUAAUUAGCCAACGUUUCUUCAUCACAGCCUUCCUUUUCUUCCAACUGCCAACAUCUUAAUUUAGACUCCCAUUGAUCAGAUCAUCCUUCCCCCAUCAAAGCCUUCAAUAGUUCUCCAUAGUCUUCAGAAUAGAAUAUAAACAUACUAGUCUGUAAUUCAAAGAUCUGGUCCUGACUUCAUGUUUUAGGUUUCGUCACUCACUAUUGUCUUCUAGCCAUUUAGGACCACUUUUUAUUUCCUAAAAUGUUAUCUGGCUUUCCUGCCUUUGCUUACAGAAUAGCAGGCAUUUAUCUAGUACUUGCAGUUUACAAAGUCUUUUACGUACAUUAUCUCCUCAGAUCUUGACAUUAUAGCCCUCUUAUCUUUGCCUUUUGAAAAUUCUACCUUUCCUUCUCUACUUUUGCUAUCUCUUACUUUGCAGAUCUCCUCCCCCAUACCCCAAGGAAAUUAUUAUUUCCUCCCCUAAGCUUCUAUAUCACUUACAUUGUAUUAUCCAUUUGGAUGACUACACAUACACACACACACUUACAAGUUUUAAAGUCAUUUAUCUCCCCUACUAGAUACCAAACUCCUUGAGGCCAAGGACAAUAAAGGCAGCUAAGUAUAAAGUAUUAAACUUGGC